GACGAAGGGGGCUAGCGUUGUUCGGAUUCAUUGGGCGUAAAGGGUGCGUAGGCGGCGCGGUAAGUCGGGUGUGAAAUCUCGGGGCUUAACUCCGAAACUGCAUUCGAUACUGCCGUGCUUGAGGACUGGAGAGGAGACUGGAAUUUACGGUGUAGCGGUGAAAUGCGUAGAUAUCGUAAGGAAGACCAGUGGCGAAGGCGGGUCUCUGGACAGUUCCUGACGCUGAGGCACGAAGGCCAGGGGAGCAAACGGG
rnacentral:rRNA from 1 species